rnacentral:pre_miRNA from 1 species
UGUUAUAAAUUUCAUACAUUUCUACUAUUAAAAAUUAGCGUGGCUAAAAUAACUUAACAAUAAUAUCAGGUGCGCCACGUGCACCUCAUGUUAAUGUACAAUAACCAAAUUUUAAUAAUAAAAUAGAUGAAAUUUUUAACA